rnacentral:rRNA from 1 species
AUACGAAGGGGGCUAGCGUUGCUCGGAAUCACUGGGCGUAAAGCGCACGUAGGCGGACUCUUCAGUCGGUGGUGAAAUCCUGGAGCUCAACUUCAGAACUGCCUUCGAUACUGAGAGUCUCGAGUCCGGGAGAGGGGAGUGGCACUGCGAGUGUAGAGGUGAAAUUCGUAGAUAUUAGCAAGAACACCAGUGGCGAAGGCGGCUCACUGGCCCGGUACUGGCGCUGAGGUGCGAAAGCGUGGGGGGCAAACAGGAUUAGAUACCCUGGUAGUCCACGCCGUAAACGAUGGAUGCUAGCCGUUAGUGGGUUUACUCACUAGUGGCGCAGCUAACGCUUUAAGCAUUCCGCCUGGGGAGUACGGUCGCAAGAUUAAAACUUAAAUGAAUUGGCGGGG